rnacentral:lncRNA from 1 species
UCCCAACCCUUGGCAGCUGCAUGCAGCAUAUCAUGGCGUUCACUCGCCUCCUCGUUGUCCUCCUCGGCGCUGCAUUUCCGCUGCUCUUAUUAUUCUCCCCUGCAGGUGAAUAACAAUUGAUCGAUCAUGCACACGCACAAAAUUAAUUAAACACUAGCGCUAUCUAGCUAGUUACUGAUUGAUGAUAUAUUAUAUGUUGUGAAUGAAUGAAUGAAUAUAUGAUUGCAGUGGCGAGUGAAUUGGGCGUGAGCUACGGGAGGGUGGCGAACGACCUGCCGGACCCGUCGUCGGUGGUGAAGCUGCUCGGAGACAACGGCAUCACCAUGGUGAGGAUCUACGACGCCAACUCCAACGUGCUUAGUUCGCUGGCCA